rnacentral:rRNA from 1 species
UACAGCGGUCCCAAGCGUUGUUCGGAUUCAUUGGGCGUAAAGGGUGCGUAGGCGGCGCGGUAAGUCGGGUGUGAAAUCUCGGGGCUUAACUCCGAAACUGCAUUCGAUACUGCCGUGCUUGAGGACUGGAGAGGAGACUGGAAUUUACGGUGUAGCGGUGAAAUGCGUAGAUAUCGUAAGGAAGACCAGUGGCGAAGGCGGGUCUCUGGACAGUUCCUGACGCUGAGGCACGAAGGUCAGGGGAGCAAACGGG